rnacentral:snRNA from 1 species
AUCGCUUCUCGGCCUUUUGGCUAAGAUCAAGUGUAGACAUAUGUUAGAUUACUAUUUUGCCUAUAGUCUCAUCAGCAUGAUUUAAUAUUGUGAUUAUAGUUUAGUACUAAUAAACAAAAUUAU